rnacentral:lncRNA from 1 species
CAUGAUCAAGAUUAUUUCCGUUUGAAAAGGAAAAGUUAAAUCAUCAAUCGCAUAGCUCUAUUACUCUAGAAGUUAGUUUAUUACAUGAAAAUAAUUUAUCCACACUACAAAAAAAGAUAUUUUCAAAAAACUUAAAGAAGACACUAGAAAAAGAGCAAAUUCAUCAAGGAAAAAGUGAAUUAAUUCUGAUUAUAGGACCAAUAUACAAAUAUCACUCUGCCCCAAUCAUUAUUAGUUUCAACUCCCAUAUGUACCUAAUGGGAUUUGCCUCAGAUAGCAACAUAUUAUACCACAUAAAGUGAUCCUCAUCAACAUCAGCCAAAUUAGCUUGUGGCUCUAGAGUAGGCUAAUGGCUUCGAAUGCAGAGACAAAUAGUUAUGAAUAUUUAAUAGAAAUCACAAAUAACUAGAACAAUUCCCAAUUAUUUAUCAUACAAAACAAUAGACAUUCUGACUACCAUCUAUAGCACAUACGCUCCAAAUACGAAAACGACUAUUUUACAAAACAAAACAGGGCUACAAAUAAGUGAUCUAACAUAAGAGUGAAAAUGCUCUAAAUUUGGAACCACACAAUAUUGAAAUAGUGAUUGAACAAUAAACACGCCUCAAAGAUCAUAAAGAUUUGAAAGUUAAUCCCUCUAUUGGAGUUAUUUGAUACAAAUAUCACUCUGCCCCAAUCAUUAUUAGUUUCAACUCCCAUAUGUACCUAAUGGGAUUUGCCUCAGAUAGCAACAUAUUAUACCACAUAAAGUGAUCCUCAUCAACAUCAGCCAAAUUAGCUUGUGGCUCUAGAGUAGGUUAAUGGCUUCGAAUGCAGAGACAAAUAGUUAUGAAUAUUUAAUAGAAAUCACAAAUAACUAGAACAAUUCCCAAUUAUUUAUCAUACAAAACAAUAGACAUUCUGACUACCAUUUAUAGCACAUACGCCCCAAAUACGAAAACAACUAUUUUACAAAACAAAACAGGGCUACAAAUAAGUGAUCUAACAUAAGAGUGAAAAUGCUCUAAAUUUGGAACCACACAAUAUUGAAAUAGUGAUUGAACAAUAAACACGCCUCAAAGAUCAUAAAGAUUUGAAAGUUAAUCCCUCUAUUGGAGUUAUUUGAUGCUCAUAAUUAUAUUAUUUUGGGAUUCAAGAAAAAUGGAAGACAAUGAGCCAGAGAGGGAGAGAGAGGUACUUCCAGUGUUUAAUUACAGAGGAGAAGAGAAAUAAAUGCAUAAGAUUUACCUAGGGAAGGGGAUGGAGAAGACGCUUGCACAGAAAUAGAUACAUAUGAAUUACCUGGGGAGGUGAUGGAGAAGACGCGUGCAUUGAGAGAGAAAUAAGAGAGAGAGGGAGUUUUCUAGUGCUAAAUAUUUCAAGAGAACAUAAAAUAGAUACAGAUUAAUUGCGUGGGAAGGCAUAGGAGAGAGAAAAAGGAAAAAAAUAACAAAAUUUGCUGAUCUGGAAAAAUAGCGCUCACGAUCGCUCAUAUAUGUUACGCAGCAUAUCUUUUCUCUCUCUAUCUCU